GCCCUUCUGGCGCAAUGGUAGCGCGUUAGACUUCUAAUCUAAAGGUUGCGAGUUCGAGCCUCGCGAGGGGUU
rnacentral:tRNA from 1 species